CGGACGGGUGAGUAACGCGUAGGUAACCUGCCCUGAAGAGGAGAAUAACCCUGCGAAAGCGGGGCUAAUACUCCAUAUGUUAGGGGGUCGAUAAGAUCCCUUAAUGAAAGGCGGCAUUAAGCCGUCACUUCGGGAUGGGCCUGCGUCGGAUUAGCUAGCUGGUAGGGUAAAGGCCUACCAGGGCGACAAUCCGUAGCUGGUCUGAGAGGACGAUCAGCCACACUGGGACUGAGACACGGCCCAGACUCCUACGGGAGGCAGCAGUGGGGAAUCUUCCGCAAUGGGCGCAAGCCUGACGGAGCGACGCCGCGUGGGUGAAGAAGGCCUUCGGGUCGUAAAGCCCUGUCAGUGGGGAAGAAAGCAGGCAUCAAGAAAAGGGUGAUCGUUGACGGUACCCGUUGAGGAAGCCCUGGCCAACUACGUGCCAGCAGCCGCGGUAACACGUAGAGGGCAAGCGUUGUCCGGAAUUACUGGGCGUAAAGGGCGCGCAGGCGGUAAGGCAAGUCGGGUGUGAAAACCUGGGGCUUAACCCCAGGCGUGCAUUCGAAACUGUCUUGCUUGAGGGCAGCAGAGGAAAACGGAAUUCCUGGUGUAGUGGUGAGAUACGUAGAUAUCAGGAGGAACACCAGUGGCGAAAGCGGUUUUCUGGGCUGUCCCUGACGCUGAGGCGCGAAAGCCGGGGGAGCGAACGGGAUUAGAUACCCCGGUAGUCCCGGCUGUAAACGUUGGACACUAGGUGUUGGGGGUUAAACUCCCUCAGUGCCGCAGUUAACGCACUAAGUGUCCCGCCUGGGAAUUACGGUCGCAAGACUGAAACUCAAAGGAAUUGACGGGGGCCCGCACAAGCGGUGGAGCAUGUGGCUUAAUUCAAUGCAACGUGGAAAACCUUACC
rnacentral:rRNA from 1 species